rnacentral:rRNA from 1 species
GGUGAAAAGCACCCCGGAAGGGGAGUGAAAUAGAACCUGAAACCGUGUGCUUACAAGUAGUCAGAGCCCGUUAAUGGGUGAUGGCGUGCCUUUUGUAGAAUGAACCGGCGAGUUACGAUUUGAUGCAAGGUUAAGCAGUAAAUGUGGAGCCGUAGCGAAAGCGAGUCUGAAUAGGGCGUUUAGUAUUUGGUCGUAGACCCGAAACCAGGUGAUCUACCCUUGGUCAGGUUGAAGUUCAGGUAACACUGAAUGGAGGACCGAACCGACUUACGUUGAAAAGUGAGCGGAUGAACUGAGGGUAGCGGAGAAAUUCCAAUCGAACCUGGAGAUAGCUGGUUCUCUCCGAAAUAGCUUUAGGGCUAGCCUCAAGUGAUGAUUAUUGGAGGUAGAGCACUGUUUGGACGAGGGGCCCCUCUCGGGUUACCGAAUUCAGACAAACUCCGAAUGCCAAUUAAUUUAACUUGGGAGUCAGAACAUGGGUGAUAAGGUCCGUGUUCGAAAGGGAAACAGCCCAGACCACCAGCUAAGGUCCCAAAAUAUAUGUUAAGUGGAAAAGGAUGUGGCGUUGCCCAGACAACUAGGAUGUUGGCUUAGAAGCAGCCAUCAUUUAAAGAGUGCGUAAUAGCUCACUAGUCGAGUGACACUGCGCCGAAAAUGUACCGGGGCUAAACAUAUUACCGAAGCUGUGGAUUGUCCUUUGGACAAUGGUAGGAGAGCGUUCUAAGGGCGUUGAAGCAUGAU